GUGCUCUCUUUGGCAGUAUAUAUACUAAAGUUGGAACCAUAUAGAGAAGAUUAGCAUGGUCCCUGUGUAAGGAUGACACAUAAAUUCAUGAAACGUUCCAUAAAAAA
ensembl:snRNA U6 U6 spliceosomal RNA